GACGAACGCUGGCGGCGUGCUUAACACAUGCAAGUCGAACGGAAAGGCCCCUUUGGGGGUACUCGAGUGGCGAACGGGUGAGUAACACGUGAGUAACCUGCCCUUGACUUCGGGAUAACUUCAGGAAACUGGGGCUAAUACCGGAUAGGAAUCCUUGCUGCAUGGUGGGGGUUGGAAAGCUUCGGCGGUUUUGGAUGGACUCGCGGCUUAUCAGCUUGUUGGUGGGGUAGUGGCUUACCAAGGCUUUGACGGGUAGCCGGCCUGAGAGGGCGACCGGCCACAUUGGGACUGAGAUACGGCCCAGACUCCUACGGGAGGCAGCAGUGGGGAAUAUUGCACAAUGGGCGGAAGCCUGAUGCAGCAACGCCGCGUGCGGGAUGACGGCCUUCGGGUUGUAAACCGCAUUCAGCAGGGGCGAAGCUUGUGGUGACGGUACCUGCAGAAGAAGCACCGGCUAACUACGUG
rnacentral:rRNA from 1 species